UACGAAGGGGGCUAGCGUUGUUCGGAAUCACUGGGCGUAAAGGGCGCGUAGGCGGCUUUAUAAGUCGGGGGUGAAAGCCUGUGGCUCAACCACAGAAUUGCCUUCGAUACUGUUAGGCUUGAGACCGGAAGAGGUAAGUGGAACUGCGAGUGUAGAGGUGAAAUUCGUAGAUAUUCGCAAGAACACCAGUGGCGAAGGCGGCUUACUGGUCCGGUUCUGACGCU
rnacentral:rRNA from 1 species